rnacentral:rRNA from 1 species
AUUGAACGCUAGCGGGAUGCUUUACACAUGCAAGUCGAACGAGUGGCGGACGGGUGAGUAAUAUAUCGGAACGUGCCCAGUAGCGGGGGAUAACUACUCGAAAGAGUGGCUAAUACCGCAUACUAUUGGAGCGGCCGAUCACGGAGUAGCUAGUUGGUGGGGUAAAGGCUCACCAAGGCAACGAUCCGUAGCUGGUUUGAGAGGACGAGCAGCCACACUGGGACUGAGACACGGCCCAGAGUCCUACGUGAGGCAGGAGUUGGGAAUUGUGGACAAAGUGGGAGACGCUAAUCCAGACAUCGCGCGUGUAUAAGAAGGCCUUCGGGUUGUGAAGGACUAUUGGCGGAGUAGCGGGAAAUGCAGAGUAAGCACCGGCAAACUACGUGCCCGAAGCCGCGGUAAUAC